rnacentral:rRNA from 1 species
UACGUAGGGGGCAAGCGUUAUCCGGAUUUACUGGGUGUAAAGGGCGUGCAGCCGGGAGCCCAAGUCAGAUGUGAAAUCCCGCGGCUUAACCGCGGAACUGCAUUUGAAACUGGGUUUCUUGAGUACCGGAGAGGUCAUCGGAAUUCCUUGUGUAGCGGUGAAAUGCGUAGAUAUAAGGAAGAACACCAGUGGCGAAGGCGGAUGACUGGACGGCAACUGACGGUGAGGCGCGAAAGCGUGGGGAGCAA